rnacentral:rRNA from 1 species
UACGGAGGGUGCAAGCGUUAUCCGGAAUCACUGGGCGUAAAGGGCGCGUAGGCGGUCUGUUAAGUCUGGCGUUAAAGCCUGGGGCUCAACUCCAGAUCAGCGUUGGAUACUGGCAGGCUAAACGGUUGGAGAGGCGAGUGGAAUUACCAGUGUAGCGGUGAAAUGCGUAGAUAUAGGAAGGAACACCCAUUGCGAAGGCAGCUCGCUGGACAACACGUGACGCUGAGGCGCGAAAGUGUGGGGAGCAAACCGGAUUAGAUACCCCGGUAGU